AUGGAGUGUGACAAGUAAAAACGAAAAAGUUGAUAUGCUCUUGGCCAAUAUUUAUCUCCUCAGAAAUGAACUUCUUAUUGCUGAAUCCAAAAGUACAACAAGUUGGAUCCCAAAACAAAUUAUUCCAUGUCACAAUAUAGUACAUCUUUGAAAACCAAGAGCAGAAAACAGUCUUCUACCAGUGGGCCACAAGUGGGAGAACCAGCCCACUCUAGGUGCAUUGGCUGCAUCUUGAUCUUGAAGUAAUGCCUCUUCCUCGAUCCCAUCUGAAUCCUCCUCACCAUCUUUCGUCUGAUUUUCACUUGUACUCCUCUCUUCUGUAUCUUGAGUUCCAACAUCUGCAAUUUCCCCUGGCUUCUUGUCAAAUAGUCCUUUGAAUUGUUUACGUGCCUUCUUCUCAACUUCUUGUUUCUUCUGCUUCAGUUUUUGAAGUGCUGCCAUUGCAUCAGGUUCAGAUGACUUGUCAACUUUCAUCAUCUUUUCAAAAUCAUUUUUUGCUUCCUCAAAAUCUCCAUCUGUCAUGUAGGCCAUUCCACGUCGGUACAGAGCCUUUACAUGUGCAGGAUUUGCAUCCAAAACCUGAACAAUUUUAUGAGGACCCAAAUUCAAAGAUGUAGGUUGAAAGGAAUAAUAAUGACCUGCGAAGUUACAAGGAAAAGAAAGAAUGGCAUUUGAACACAAACUCAAUAUUUUAGCAAUAAGAAGGGAAACUUUUCUACACCAUUAGUCUGCAUUGGCAUCAUGAGCCUGCCUUUGAAACCUAUAAGGGAUAAUCUUAGAUGAUUACAACAUGCAUCACAACAUCAUCAAUUCCUUAUUUCUAACUGGAAGCCCAUAUGUGUCAAGUCCCAAACCCCCAUGUAUUCAUAUGCUAAUGGGGGAACUAUGAGCAGAAAAGCCUAAGCUUGAGCUUGAUAUUUAACUCCAGUUGUGCAUCAAAUGGAAUUCCCCAUCCCAAAGACUUGCCAAGCCUUGUGUCCCAUAUCUGUUUCUAGCAUAUCCGACAUGCAAAAGCCUGAAACCCUGUAUGAUUUGUUUUCUUAUUUACAUCUGAUUAAGAAAUUACGAGAAUUACUGAUUUUGUAAUCACAGUGACAUCCAGCUUACCCAUAGAGAAAUAAUCCUAUCACCAAAAUACUAUUCCAUUGGAAGGAAUAGCAAUCAUUUAUGCCAAUUAAGCAAUUACCAAAUAAGAAAGAAAAGGAAAAGGGGAAUUUUAAAUAAAUAGCAUAGCAAAAUUAACUGUAACCACACUAUCAAAUCCAGAACAUAUGAAUAGAAACUACAAAUCUCCCAAAACAUACCUUAUUGCAAUACUCAAUGGACUUUUUGCAUUCUCCCAUUUUGAGGUAGCAUGCAGCCAAGUUUAAAUUUAACAAGUUUCUAGUAUCUACGAAAACCUUCCCUUCCUCAUCAUCUUGUGGAUUUACAUGAUUAAAUUCCCUAAGUACCUUCUCAUAUUUUGCCUUUGCAAGCUCAAACUUUCCUUCUUUGAAGAGCCUGUUUCCUGUGUUUCUAAUCUUCUCUGCUUCACCCAUUAUACUUGGAAAAUCCAUACCAGUCCAAUCCUGCAAUAAGAAUUCAUGUGAACCUUUCUACAUAUAAUGAUACAGGAAUGAUCAUGAACUUCUAAGCUGAAAUCCUAGUAAGUAUUUCCAGCUAUUCAGAGCUGAAUCAUGUGAAAAAUCCCAUAAAAUCAGCAAUUUCCAUUAUCAAUUCCGAAGUCCAUUCCCCCCUGAAGCUACUAAUGGCUAAAUGAAUGCCAGCCAAACAGAAAAACUGAUAUGGACAGAAAAGCUGGCUUGCUGAAAUGCCACCAACAAAAAUAGUUUCAAAAUGAUAAGAGACAGAAAAUUGAGAGUCUAACAAAGUUUAUAUAAACAAAUGAAAUGGUCCUGCAAUUAAAUUUCAGAAAAAUAUUUGUUGGUUACCUUAGGCAUCUCAAAACCAAGUAGCUCAAUUUCCCAUUGAAUAUGAGCACCUUCAGGAACAUUAACUGGCCUAAUAAUAGGGGAUUAAAAAACAAAAGGUCACUUCAUUUCAGAAGGAAUAAAAUAAAGUAAGAAUAAUGUAGCAGUAAGUAAAAUCAACGUGUUUCUAUUUUUCAUAAAACUGGAUAUGUUAAACAAGAUUUUGAAAAGCAACCUCUGGAACUUGUCAUAUGCAUAAUCAGGAGGACAAGUAACAAGAGCUAUCUCUCCUGGAAGCAUUAAACGAACACACAUUUCAAAUCCUUCAGGGACGAGCCCUUCCCCAGAUCUGAACUCCAACGGCUGACCAUCAUUAUCAACUCUUGUAUCAUAGAAGACCUUCUUUUCCUCAUUAAGAAGCAUACCCUUGUAAUGUACUCGUAGUAGACUGUCAUGAAGGGGGCAAUCCAUGGGAAAUUCACCUCUUCCAUCACGAAGCCGACGCUUUAUCAGGCGCCCAUCUCCAAGCAUGUCCCGCACCUGUUAACACUAAGCUAGAGGGUUGAAUAACACCAUUACGAAUUUCACAAUUUACCAUAGAAGUGAGUGCAAUUGUCAUAAACAAUAAAUCAAUAAACAAAUAAGGUACAUGCACAUACACAAAUAUAAACAAUAUUUAAUCAGGAUUUGGCUAUAAAUCAGGCACAAAUUAGCAUGUUUCCGCCAAUAUAAUUUAAAAUGCACAUAUGUGCAUGUUAAGUUCCAAAUGCUGUACAUAUGUGUAAGUCCAGAAAAACUGUAUCUCGUCUCAAUUAAUUAUCACAAACAUCUUUUAAAUUUCAGACACUCAUGAUAAAGAGGAGCUUAUGAGAACAUCCAUGAUGGUCACUGUGUCUCUCAUCAACAAACAUCAAGGCUCCCAACCAACCAUACAGAACAAGGCAACUAAUCAUGGGUUGGUACUUUGUUUGUUUCAUGUCUAGAUGUAAACUUAACCACAGUGGACAAUCAACGUAAAGAAGUAUUGCAAUAAAAAGAAGAAUGACGGUUAGACAUGUAUUAUGAUCGCACAAAGACAAGAUGAUACAGUUUUUCACAUCAAUUAGAAUUUCAGCAAAUUGAAUUAACAAUGAGAUUAUUAUCUAAUUAUUAAUAAAAACUCCUCAACCAACAAAUCUAGUUUUUUUCUUUUUAGUCCCAUUAAUGAUGACAACCAAGGAAUGAGUAUGCAAAUGCAAGAGUAUACAAUGAUGAUGUACAAUCUUGGAGAACAUUGCAUACCUGAGUGAAAUGGACAAGCUCCACUUCAAAAUGAACUUCAUCAAAACCUUCCACCAUAGACAGCAGAGGAGACUCGGUUAAGUACUGGUUGGUAACAUAUAUUACUGCUUUCUCUUCUCGUGACAUUGUUCCCAUCCCCAUUUCAAGGCCCUUAGGUACCUCAGAUUUCCCAAAAGUAAAGCAAUAUGGUUCUUGUGUAUGUGAUAAAAUUACUUUCCCAUUGCCCGUCUUUGCAGAAAUCCUAGCCUUUACUUCAUAAGGUUCCCUUGGAGAUUCCCAGCCCAACCCUUCAUUUACUACCUUCUUUAUAACUCCCAAAUCAUCACUGACAACCUUGACUUUAGAAAAGUCUAUCAUCUCAAUCUCAAAAUGAAGUUCAUCUUCCUGUGGAAAGCUACUUGGAGGUGAAACUGGACAAUCAACCUCGCAAUAGUGCAUUUCAGGUUUCAUCUUGAACAUUGCCACUUCACCCUUCAGCAUUGUGGGAAGUCCUUCCAGCAAUCCUAGUAUCAUCUUACUUUUGCCCAAAACUUGUCUUAUUGGAGUGUCCUUGCCUGUCAUAUACAAGGAUAGGCUUUUUUAAUCCAACUACCAUAAAAACAUAACAUACUUUAUCAUAAAAAUCAUCUCAUUAAUGACUCAAAUAUUAGAAUUAAUUAAACCUCAGUAUAAUACAUAAAUCUAUGAGAACAAAAACAUUUUCUACAUGGCAAUGCAUGUAUGAAUCAUUCAAUAACCAACUUGACAAUCAUGGAAUCAAUCCACCUCCAUAUUCCAACCUAGUAGACUCUACAACAACUCCGUCCAAUGUUCUAACAGUGCAAUGGUAUAUGACCUGGUCACCAUCUGAUGGUCUAGCAUCACCCCCACCCGGUCUCAUCUCAGCUUUCAUCAAACUCCCCGGCACAAUUUUCAUUCUCCUCUUCUCGUUUUCAGUGGGCUCUUUCUUCUUCUUAGGGGCCAUAUCCUCAUCUACAGCCAUAGCCGACGAAAGAAUUCAAGGAAUUGAUGAGAAAUAUGAAGAACUAUCCAAUCACUGAAGUUGGUGUUUGGAGGUAAGACCACAAAUGGUGACUGAUUAACCAGAGCUGUUUGAUUUUGAAUUUCUCACUCGUUAUUCUAUUUUCUUCUUUUU
rnacentral:misc_RNA from 1 species